rnacentral:rRNA from 1 species
UCCUACGGGAGGCAGCAGCAGGGAAUCUUCCGCAAUGGACGAAAGUCUGACGGAGCAACGCCGCGUGAGCGAUGAAGGCCUUCGGGUCGUAAAGCUCUGUUGUUAGGGAAGAACAAGUAUCGGAGUAACUGCCGGUACCUUGACGGUACCUAACCAGAAAGCCACGGCUAACUACGUGCCAGCAGCC